ensembl:lncRNA
AGCCUAGCAGCUCGCUACAAGCUCUCAUGGGAGUGCGUGUUAAGAUGAUCUUAGUUGCUUCCUUUACACUCCCAUGAGAGCUUUGUAGGGCGUCCAGCAGAUGUGGCUCCGUCAGAAGGGGAAGCUGAGAAGCUGAGAAGCGGUUGAUUGACGAUCAGACGGAUGCUCAACAGCUAAAAGUUUGGAUCCCCCGAAGGGACCAGCUGUGAGUGCAAGACCCAAUUCUACCAACCCAAGAUAACUUACUGACUAAUAGUAGAGAUUUAUGGCCAAAUUAUUUUAUUUAUUGUAAUUUUUAUUUUCAACAAAGAUUUUUUUUUUAAAAGUGUUCCAGGACCGAGUUCUUUUAAAUCCCCUGUAUUUAUUUUAUUUGAACAGCAAACAUGAGGGAAUCCGUCAGGUAGAAGCAAAGCAUUGUGGGAAACUGUAACAGGAACCAAAAAGACCUCGGGGGGGGGUGGCGGACAUGUGAGACUGUAAGUGUACACAGCGGCGUGUUUCUUCCACCUCUUGGCCCCCACGUACACGCGCUCACACGGCGGGGGCCGCGAGGCGUCGCCACCAUCUUCUCCGGACAAUUCAGUCACAACGAACGACUCCGUGGAAACACGGCACAGCACUGUGGAAUUCUGAUGCACUACAUUCCGACUUCCCCCGAUCCUCUUAACGUGUUGGAACGCAGGCCGCGGCGGCCUCAUCACGCACAGUGUGAUUGUGCGUCCCACGUGUGCGCUACGGAUGACGGGGACAAAAGAGAGCGUGAGCUGAUCGAUGGCAGAGGCAAGAGAUGUGGGGAGGAUAUUUUUAAGGAAGUGUAAUGGAAAGACAAAACGGGGGAGUAGCAGAAGGGAAAGUGGAGGAGGGAUAACCUGUAUGUGGGAAACCAAAGGAGAGGAUGGAGUCGCACCUUUGAGGAAAGAGGAAGUUUGGAGAAAGGAAAACGAGAAAAGACUGAAGGAGAGAACAGUGGCACGUUCAGCGUCGUGUUCCUCAGCUCCUAAAACACUUCACAACCUAUUUUAAACAAAUACGUUGCUUAUUAUAUAAUUGCAGCCCUCAUAAGUGUGCGCCAGUCGCUAUGUAGUCAAAACUUCAAUAACGCCCCUCAAAGCUUUCUGUGUUUUAACUCUUGAGUCGUAGAAAGAGCAGGAAUGUUCUCUGCGUGCGGCUGGUUCCUCUGGUACCUUCACGGGACACCUGUACUCGGACCAGAGAUGUGAAGCGUGCCGACAAGCUGCCUUCUAAAAAUCCACAUGAUGAUCCACCAUCUCGGGUCUUUUUCUUGUUGUUUUCGGACGAAUCAGAAAAUCUUCCUCCAAAAAAAAAAAAAAAACCCAAAUCCGAAUGUCUCAGUUUGCCCUCCGGUUCUCUCAUGAAAUCAAUGCUUUUAUUUCUUUGAAAAUAUAUUUUAGCCUGACUCUGUUCUAGAUGUGGGUUAAUUGUGUUCCGCGUUAAAGCAAACUGAAUGACCUCAUGAACUUGAUUGUAAAACCAUAGUUUAGUGAUGGGAACAAAGCAAACCAGUG